UACGGAGGGUGCAAGCGUUACCCGGAAUCACUGGGCGUAAAGGGUGCGCAGGCGGCCGAGUGUGUGAGGCGUGAAAGCCCGGGGCUUAACCCCGGAAUUGCACCUCAAACUACACGGCUAGAGCAUUGGAGAGGGUAGCAGAAUUCAUGGUGUAGCAGUGAAAUGCGUAGAUAUCAUGAGGAAUACCAGAGGCGAAGGCGGCUACCUGGACAAUUGCUGACGCUCAGGCACGAAAGCGUGGGGAGCAAAAGGG
rnacentral:rRNA from 1 species